rnacentral:rRNA from 1 species
UAAAGAAUUUCGGUCAUCGAUGGGGAUGCGUUCCAUUAGCUUGUUGGCGGGGUAACGGCCCACCAAGGCAUCGAUGGAUAGGGGUUCUGAGAGGAAGGUCCCCCACAUUGGAACUGAGACACGGUCCAAACUCCUACGGGAGGCAGCAGUGAGGAAUAUUGGUCAAUGGGCGCUAGCCUGAACCAGCCAAGUAGCGUGAAGGAUGACUGCCCUAUGGGUUGUAAACUUCUUUUAUAUGGGAAUAAAGUGCAGUAUGUAUACUGCUUUGCAUGUACCUUAUGAAUAAGGAUCGGCUAACUCCGUGCCAGCAGCCGCGGUAAUACGGAGGAUCCGAGCGUUAUCCGGAUUUAUUGGGUUUAAAGGGAGCGUAGGCGGGUUGUUAAGUCAGUUGUGAAAGUUUGCGGCUCAACCGUAAAAUUGCAGUUGAUACUGGCAUCCUUGAGUACAGUAGAGGUAGGCGGAAUUCGUGGUGUAGCGGUGAAAUGCUUAGAUAUCACGAAGAACUCCGAUUGCGAAGGCAGCCUGCUGGACUGUAACUGACGCUGAUGCUCGAAAGUGUGGGUAUCAAACAGGAUUAGAUACCCUGGUAGUCCACACAGUAAACGAUGAAUACUCGCUGUUUGCGAUAUACAGUAAGCG